UACGUAGGGUGCAAGCGUUGUCCGGAAUUAUUGGGCGUAAAGAGCUCGUAGGCGGUUUGUCACGUCUGCUGUGAAAACUGGAGGCUCAACCUCCAGCCUGCAGUGGGUACGGGCAGACUAGAGUGCGGUAGGGGAGAUUGGAAUUCCUGGUGUAGCGGUGGAAUGCGCAGAUAUCAGGAGGAACACCGGUGGCGAAGGCGGGUCUCUGGGCAGUAACUGACGCUGAGGAGCGAAAGCGUGGGGAGCGAACAGG
rnacentral:rRNA from 1 species